GGGAAGCCGGUCGAAUUCCGGCGCUGACCCGCAACCGUAGGCCCGGCACCGCCGGGCGAGCCGGAAUGCC
rfam:Streptomyces sp. WM6368 P399contig2.1, whole genome shotgun sequence.